UACGUAGGGGGCAAGCGUUAUCCGGAUUUACUGGGUGUAAAGGGAGCGUAGACGGCAGCGCAAGUCUGGAGUGAAAUGCCGGGGCCCAACCCCGGAACUGCUCUGGAAACUGUGAAGCUGGAGUGCAGGAGAGGUAAGCGGAAUUCCUGGUGUAGCGGUGAAAUGCGUAGAUAUCGGGAGGAACACCAGUGGCGAAGGCGGUUUACUGGACCACAACUGACGCUGAGACACGAAAGCGUGGGGAGCAAACAGG
rnacentral:rRNA from 1 species